rnacentral:rRNA from 1 species
NAUAAGUAAAGUGAAUUGCAGAUUUUCCGUGAAUCAUUGAAUCUUUGAACGCACCUUGCGCUCCUCGGUAUUCCGAGGAGCAUGCCUGUUUGAGUGUCAU